CAAUCAGAAACCUCCUGCUGUGUUUAUCGCGCCUUAACAGCAGGACCUCGAGAUAAGGUGUCGGCUUUGAUGUGUCCAACCAGAAACAGUCAAGACACAGAUGAACCUCUGGCUAAAAACUUUCAGCAGCAUAUUUACACCAUCUUAUCUCCAACUUUACAGCUUCAUGCGCAGCUGAAGCGCAGUGCCGGCACUCAGAAAGACCACAGUGCAGUGGCUCACACCUGCAAGUGGCAGUUGAGUUUCAGGGACAUCAUUUCCUCUGGGGUCACCCCACUUGGCACUGCUUUCACGGCGGCCAUCAAUUAG
rnacentral:lncRNA from 1 species